rnacentral:misc_RNA from 1 species
ACAUUUAAAUUGCGCCGAUCAGAGCAACCACAGCGCAGAUUGCUCGUUGACGUCGCGCGAAAAAUGGCGGAAAAUCUAGCGAAAAUUGUCAAUAUAAUUGAAUCGAGUGUAAAUAAUAAUAAUGACGACGGCGUUGAGGACACAGCGACCGCGGAGUCCGCCGCUGAAUCGGCUGCAAUUAGCCCGCCGUCAGAAUCAAGAGGCUCACGCCCAACCACCGUCAGGAUAUCCACCGGUCAUUUGCCGUCGUAUCGUUUGCACGAUGUUGACGAGAUAUUGGCGCAUAAACCGACUUUUUCGGAGCGUUGCAUACGCUAUGUAAUGGUGUUGAUCUACUUAUGUGGUCUGUGCAGUUUGGGUUUUGUUCUAUCCAUUUAUCAUUUCUUCUUUUGGGACUCACGUAUGCCACCGUUGCAUAAGAGUAUGAUAAUGAAGAAACCACCAGGAUAUGGCUAAAUUUAGAAUGAUCGAAAAUAAAGUGUUAACAAGUCAUCGGUGUGUGAGUGUGUGUGAUUAAAAAAACCAAUAUAUUCAAUGUAGUUAUUAGAAAUAUAUUCUAAAAACUGUAACUGCUUCAACAAGUGGAAAAUAUUUAAAGUUUAUCCUGUAUAAAAGUUGACCAUACACCGUUGGACUUAAAAUAUGACAAAAUUGUGAUACCAGAGAAAAUCGCUAUACGCCUACUCAAUUCAUCGGAGGUCACCGCCGAACAA